AUACGUAGGGGACGAGCGUUGUCCGGAAUUACUGGGCGUAAAGGGCGCGCAGGCGGAUAUUUAAGUCAGCUGUAAAAGGCAUGAGCUCAACUCAUGUAUGCGGUUGAAACUGGGUAUCUAGAGUGCUGGAGAGGUAGGCGGAAUUCCCGGUGUAGCGGUGAAAUGCGUAGAUAUCGGGAAGAACACCAGUGGCGAAGGCGGCUUACUGGCCAGCAACUGACGCUGAGGCGCGAAAGCCAGGGGAGCAAACGGGAUUAGAUACCCCGGUAGUCCUGGCAGUAAACGAUGUAUGCUGGGUGUGGGAGUAGCGAUACCUCCGUGCCGAAGUUAACGCGAUAAGCAUACCGCCUGGGGAGUACGGUCGCAAGAUUGAAACUCAAAGGAAUUGGCGGGG
rnacentral:rRNA from 1 species